rnacentral:misc_RNA from 1 species
GAUGAAGAACGUAGUGAACGUGCGAAACGUAAUGUGAAUUGCAGAAUUCAGUGAAUCAUCGAAUCUUUGAACGCAUCUUGCGCUCCUUGGUAUUCCGAGGAGCAUGCCUGUUUGAGUGUCGUGAAUACUCUCAACUUCAACCCUUUUUUCGGAAAGGGAGGAAGGUUGGACUUGGGUGUUUGUUGAAGUGCGAGCUUCGACUCAUCCUAAAUGCAUUAGCGAUCUGCCUCGAUCACACACAAUGUGAUAAUUAAAACUAAAGCAUUGUUUAAUGAUCAAGUCGAGACUGCUUCUAACUGUCGCAAGACAAUAACGUGCAUACAUUUGUGCAUGUCAUUUGACCUCAAAUCAGGUAGGACUACCCGCUGAACUUAAGCAUAUCAAUAAGCGGAAGGA